UGUGUUCCCCCCGCCAAUUCCAUCAGCCGCCGCGGUAAUACGGGGGAUGCAAGCGUUAUCCGGAAUGAUUGGGCGUAAAGAGUCCGUAGGUAGUCAUCCAAGUCUGCUGUUAAAGAGCGAGGCUUAACCUCGUAAAGGCAGUGGAAACUGGAAGACUAGAGUGUAGUAGGGGCAGAGGGAAUUCCUGGUGUAGCGGUGAAAUGCGUAGAGAUCAGGAAGAACACCGGUGGCGAAGGCGCUCUGCUGGGCUAUAACUGACACUGAGGGACGAAAGCUAGGGGAGCGAAUGGGAUUAGAUACCCCAGUAGUCCUAGCGGUAAACGAUGGAAACUAGGUGUGGCCUGUAUCGACCCGGGCCGUGCCGAAGCAAACGCGUUAAGUUUCCCGCCUGGGGAGUACGCACGCAAGUGUGAAACUCAAAGGAAUUGGCGGGGGAGCACAAA
rnacentral:rRNA from 1 species